rnacentral:lncRNA from 1 species
CAGAUGUCUGGGGCUCUUUGGGUUCAUGGAUUAUUGACAAGUAACCCUCUUCCCCAUUUCCUUGGGGUGCUGAGUCCUGUGUUGAGCUAGCACUUUGGCCAAAGGAAGUUUGCAAGAGACUGGUAUUUCAUCAGCUCCUCGAGCAGAAUGACUCACCUGUUACUAAAUGGACACUCACAAAGCCAGGAAAGCUCCAGGAAGUCUGGGAUCUGCAGUUCAAGGCCACCACAUCACCGGCCCCCCGUGGGAGUGAGUGGGACCCAGGAGAUGGGUCUGAAGGAGGAAGAAGGGCAGCUGGAAGAGACAGAGCCCCUUUCCAACAGGGCCAGAGGGAGGUCACCUUGGAGACCCCUGGAUGGUACCAUUUGCCUUCUCACUUUUGAAAUGUGGAGCUCCAAGGAGAAUCCCAGGGUAGGAGAGAAAAAGUGAUCCGUGCUGCAUGAGUUGCUUCCUGGUCUUCAGGUGCUGAAGAAUGUGUGGACAUUUCCUAGUUUAAUAGGAUUUUCUUUUUUCUAAUUGCAAUAAUUCUGUGGGAAUUCCUCGGCAAAUUCUGAAGUAAGUUGUAGAAGCAAGAAAGUGAGAUAUUUCUUUCUCCCUUUUUCCCCUCGAAGAGAUAAAAUGUGCCAUAUUUAGAGCUAGUUUUGAAAGCACUUUCUCACUUUGUCUAAAGAAUGGAGAGUGAGGAAAAUUCAGUUUCAGACGCACUGGAUCUUUGAAUGUGGGUGAGAAGAGAAGGAAAGCCUAGGCUUAUUUUAAUUGAGUAGGGUAAUGUGAGAAAUCUAGAGAUUUUUGGGUUAUACAGGGCCCAGAGGUUCCUUUAUUCCGAGAUUUCUCUUAUUGCUGCUGCAGAAUCUGAGUUCCCAAGCUUCUGAGUCAGGUGCCCCUGCUUGGGGUGAGGCGAGGUCAUGGAAGAGGCCACAUCGCAGGGGCGGUGGAGGAGGGGAAGCCAAGUGCGUCUCUGGGCCCGGGGGCCCAUGGGAGUCCCUGGAGGAGCUGAGUGUGGGGGUGCGGGGCAGGGAGGUGGUCAGAAAUAUCAUGCAGGGAGUUGUUCCCUAAAAUACAGUGCACAGCAGACCUGAAGGAUCUCUCAGCAGAUGAUGCUACUUAGACCUUACAAGUGACCUAAAAUUCAGUAAAUACACAAACACGAAGAAAGGUUAACUUGAGCUAAUUAUGCAACGAGCCCACACUGAAGAAAGUCAGAACUUAAGCUCAACCAAUCAGGAGAAGCCAACAAACUUUUAGUCCUUCAGAUCAAAUAAAGCAACUGUAUAACUGUGGCCGAUCAAGUGACUUCUGUGCUUUACUUCCGCAUCCGACCCCUCAGCUUCCCCUCUGCGCUCCCUCGUGGAGCGCCUGAGCCUUUUCUGGUAUCGAGCUGCUCUGCUCAAGAAUGUUAUUUGCUUGAAUAAACUCUUACCAAUUUUAUUAUGCCUCAGUUUACCUUUAUCUAACACAGUCAAUGCCUCAGGUCGCCUUUAUUUAACAUAGUCAACCUCCAAAUCAGUAGAGUCGGUGGACAUAUUCUUCCAAGGUCAUUUCAGGACAAGAUUCCCAUUUUACCUUCAGUUAGAACCAGGAAAAUGUGUUAUUUUCCUCAUGAGCUAAGGUGGGUGCUUAACUUGGUGUCUGCCAUGGUAUCAUCAUUACUUACAAGGCUACCUCAAUCCACCAGACUCAUUGAGAAAGACAAUGCUCACGAUGGGUGGCUGGUUUUCCCACUCUUU